UUGACAUGCGUUGCCGCGAGAACGGCAUCGAGCACCGGCUGACCAAGAUCAAGCAUCCGUGGACCAACGGUCAGGUGGAGCGCAUGAACCGCACGAUCAAGGAAGCCACCGUCAAGCGCUACCAUUACGACAGCCACCGGCAGCUCCAGCGCCACCUCACCGAUUUCAUCAACGCAUACAAUUACGGCAGGCGUCUCAAGACCCUGAAGGGCCUUACACCCUACGAAUUCAUCGCCAAAACGUGGACAAAAGAGCCAGAACGAUUCAGACUAAAUCCGGUCCAUCAAAUGCCGGGACUAAACACCUAGGCUGGAACAUGUUAGCGGAACGAUACCC
rnacentral:misc_RNA from 1 species